rnacentral:rRNA from 1 species
GGUUAAGCGACUAAGCGUACACGGUGGAUGCCCUGGCAGUCAGAGGCGAUGAAGGGCGUGCUAAUCUGCGAUAAGCGCCGGUAAGGUGAUAUGAACCGUUAUAACCGGCGAUACCCGAAUGGGGAAACCCAGUGUGAUUCGUCACACUAUCAUUAACUGAAUCCAUAGGUUAAUGAGGCGAACCGGGGGAACUGAAACAUCUAAGUACCCCGAGGAAAAGAAAUCAACCGAGAUUCCCCCAGUAGCGGCGAGCGAACGGGGAGGAGCCCAGAGCCUGAAUCAGCAUGUGUGUUAGUGGAAGCGUCUGGAAAGGCGCGCGAUACAGGGUGACAGCCCCGUACACAAAAGCGCAUGUGCUGUGAGCUCGAUGAGUAGGGCGGGACACGUGGUAUCCUGUCUGAAUAUGGGGGGACCAUCCUCCAAGGCUAAAUACUCCUGACUGACCGAUAGUGAACCAGUACCGUGAGGGAAAGGCGAAAAGAACCCCGGCGAGGGGAGUGAAAAAGAACCUGAAACCGUGUACGUACAAGCAGUGGGAGCACCCUUUGGGGUGUGACUGCGUACCUUUUGUAUAAUGGGUCAGCGACUUAUAUUCUGUAGCAAGGUUAACCGUAUAGGGGAGCCGAAGGGAAACCGAGUCUUAACCGGGCGUUAAGUUGCAGGGUAUAGACCCGAAACCCGGUGAUCUAGCCAUGGGCAGGUUGAAGGUUGGGUAACACUAACUGGAGGACCGAACCGACUAAUGUUGAAAAAUUAGCGGAUGACCUGUGGCUGGGGGUGAAAGGCCAAUCAAACCGGGAGAUAGCUGGUUCUCCCCGAAAGCUAUUUAGGUAGCGCCUCGUGAAUUCAUCUCCGGGGGUAGAGCACUGUUUCGGCUAGGGGGCCAUCCCGGCUUACCAACCCGAUGCAAACUGCGAAUACCGGAGAAUGUUAUCACGGGAGACACACGGCGGGUGCUAACGUCCGUCGUGAAGAGGGAAACAACCCAGACCGCCAGCUAAGGUCCCAAAGUCAUGGUUAAGUGGGAAACGAUGUGGGAAGGCCCAGACAGCCAGGAUGUUGGCUUAGAAGCAGCCAUCAUUUAAAGAAAGCGUAAUAGCUCACUGGUCGAGUCGGCCUGCGCGGAAGAUGUAACGGGGCUAAACCAUGCACCGAAGCUGCGGCAGCGAACGUAUCACUUAAAGCGAUUCAGCGGGUUACGAUUGACGGAGCGAAGCGACGUCAAAGCGUAUACAAAGUCGAGUCGGUUUAAGGAUACGUUCGUUGGGUAGGGGAGCGUUCUGUAAGCCUGUGAAGGUGUGUCGUGAGGCAUGCUGGAGGUAUCAGAAGUGCGAAUGCUGACAUAA